AUUGAACGCUGGUGGCAGGCUUAACACAUGCAAGUCGAACGAGUGGCGGACGGGUGAGUAAUGCUUGGGAAUCUAGCUUAUGGAGGGGGAUAACUACUGGAAACGGUAGCUAAUACCGCAUACCAUCAGAUGAACCCAUAUGGGAUUAGCUAGUAGGUGGGGUAAUGGCUCACCUAGGCGACGAACCCUAGCUGGUCUGAGAGGAUGACCAGCCACACUGGAACUGAGACACGGUCCAGACUCCUACGGGAGGCAGCAGUGGGGAAUAUUGCACAAUGGGCGCAAGCCUGAUGCAGCCAUGCCGCGUGUGUGAAGAAGGCCUUCGGGUUGUAAAGCACUUUCAGCGAGGAGGCGUUACUCGCAGAAGAAGCACCGGCUAACUCCGUGCCAACAGCCGCGGUAAUUC
rnacentral:rRNA from 1 species